UCAGACUUGAUCUAAACUUUAAUGCUCAAUCAAAUUGAGCUAAUUAGUUAUCUAAUCACUAAUUAAUCCUUCAUUAAUGAUAGUGUCUAAGUCUAGUGGGAUUCUUCUCUAGAGUUUUCAUCCAAUGGGACUCUUCACUAGAGUCUCCAUCCACUGUGACUAUUCAGAUUAGUCAUGUGAUCGAAGAGAAACUUCUAAUGUAUUUGACCCCA
rnacentral:lncRNA from 1 species